rnacentral:tRNA from 2 species
GCGGGGAUGCCGGAGCGGUCAAACGGGAUGGGCUUAGGACCCAUUGGCUUAGUGCCUACGCAGGUUCAAAUCCUGUUCCCCGCA